AACGAACGCUGGCGGCAUGCCUAACACAUGCAAGUCGAACGAGACCUUCGGGUCUAGUGGCGCACGGGUGCGUAACGCGUGGGAACCUGCCCUUAGGUUCGGAAUCACUCCCCGAAAGGGGUCCUAAUACCGGAUAAUGUCUUCGGACCAAAGAUUUAUCGCCUUUGGAUGGGCCCGCGUUGGAUUAGCUAGUUGGUAGGGUAAAAGCCUACCAAGGCGACGAUCCAUAGCUGGUCUGAGAGGAUGAUCAGCCACACUGGGACUGAGACACGGACCAGACUCGUACGGGAGGCAGCAGUGUGGAGUAUUGGACAAUGGGCGAAAGCCUGAUCCAGCAAUGCCGCGGGAGUGAUGAAGGCCUUAGGGUUGUAAAGCUCUUUUACCCGGGAUGAUAAUGACAGUACCGGGAGAAUAAGCUCCGGCUAACUCCGUG
rnacentral:rRNA from 1 species